UGCAGUCGAGCGAACAGAUGAGAAGCUUGCUUCUCUGAUGUUAGCGGCGGACGGGUGAGUAACACGUGGGUAACCUACCUAUAAGACUGGGAUAACUCCGGGAAACCGGGGCUAAUACCGGAUAAUAUUUUGAACCGCAUGGUUCAAUAGUGAAAGACGGUUUCGGCUGUCACUUAUAGAUGGACCCGCGCCGUAUUAGCUAGUUGGUAAGGUAACGGCUUACCAAGGCGACGAUACGUAGCCGACCUGAGAGGGUGAUCGGCCACACUGGAACUGAGACACGGUCCAGACUCCUACGGGAGGCAGCAGUAGGGAAUCUUCCGCAAUGGGCGAAAGCCUGACGGAGCAACGCCGCGUGAGUGAUGAAGGUCUUCGGAUCGUAAAACUCUGUUGUUAGGGAAGAACAAAUUUGUUAGUAACUGAACAAGUCUUGACGGUACCUAACCAGAAAGCCACGGCUAACUACGUGCCAGCAGCCGCGGUAAUACGUAGGUGGCAAGCGUUAUCCGGAAUUAUUGGGCGUAAAGCGCGCGUAGGCGGUUUCUUAAGUCUGAUGUGAAAGCCCACGGCUCAACCGUGGAGGGUCAUUGGAAACUGGGAAACUUGAGUGCAGAAGAGGAGAGUGGAAUUCCAUGUGUAGCGGUGAAAUGCGCAGAGAUAUGGAGGAACACCAGUGGCGAAGGCGGCUCUCUGGUCUGUAACUGACGCUGAUGUGCGAAAGCGUGGGGAUCAAACAGGAUUAGAUACCCUGGUAGUCCACGCCGUAAACGAUGAGUGCUAAGUGUUAGGGGGUUUCCGCCCCUUAGUGCUGCAGCUAACGCAUUAAGCACUCCGCCUGGGGAGUACGACCGCAAGGUUGAAACUCAAAGGAAUUGACGGGGACCCGCACAAGCGGUGGAGCAUGUGGUUUAAUUCGAAGCAACGCGAAGAACCUUACCAAAUCUUGACAUCCUUUGACCGCUCUAGAGAUAGAGUCUUCCCCUUCGGGGGACAAAGUGACAGGUGGUGCAUGGUUGUCGUCAGCUCGUGUCGUGAGAUGUUGGGUUAAGUCCCGCAACGAGCGCAACCCUUAAGCUUAGUUGCCAUCAUUAAGUUGGGCACUCUAGGUUGACUGCCGGUGACAAACCGGAGGAAGGUGGGGAUGACGUCAAAUCAUCAUGCCCCUUAUGAUUUGGGCUACACACGUGCUACAAUGGAUAAUACAAAGGGCAGCGAAUCCGCGAGGCCAAGCAAAUCCCAUAAAAUUAUUCUCAGUUCGGAUUGUAGUCUGCAACUCGACUACAUGAAGCUGGAAUCGCUAGUAAUCGUAGAUCAGCAUGCUACGGUGAAUACGUUCCCGGGUCUUGUACACACCGCCCGUCACACCACGAGAGUUUGUAACACCCGAAGCCGGUGGAGUAACCUUUUAGGAGCUAGCCGUCGAA
rnacentral:rRNA from 2 species